rnacentral:rRNA from 1 species
CAAGCGGUGGAGCAUGUGGUUUAAUUCGAUGCUACGCGAAGAACCUUACCAGGUCUUGACAUCUUCUGCCAACCUAAGAGAUUAGGCGUUCCCUUCGGGGACAGAAUGACGGGUGGUGCAUGGUUGUCGUCAGCUCGUGUCGUGAGAUGUUGGGUUAAGUCCCGCAACGAGCGCAACCCUUAUUGUUAGUUGCCAGCAUUCAGUUGGGCACUCUAGCAAGACUGCCGGUGACAAACCGGAGGAAGGUGGGGAUGACGUCAAAUCAUCAUGCCCCUUAUGACCUGGGCUACACACGUGCUACAAUGGACGGUACAACGAGUCGCGAAACCGCGAGGUCAAGCUAAUCUCUUAAAGCCGUUCUCAGUUCGGAUUGUAGGCUGCAACUCGCCUACAUGAAGUUGGAAUCGCUAGUAAUCGUGGAUCAGCAUGCCACGGUGAAUACGUUCCCGGGCCUUGUACACACCGCCCGUCACACCAUGAGAGUUUGUAACACCCAAAGCCGGUGAGGUAACCUUCGGGGACCAGCCGUCUAAGGUGGGACAGAUGAUUAGGGUGAAGUCGUAACAAGGUAACC